UGCAAACUAGUCACUUGCAGUUGCAAAUCGUUCUCUUUUUAAAAAUAAGUUCUUCUAAAUUAGUUCUGCUGGGGAAUUAUUUGAGGGGAAAAAAUUGAGUACUUCCGAUAGAAACUUUGACACGUUGUUACUAGAAGGUGGUUCAUUGACUUAGCCAAUUCCUUGUUCCGGUCGCGAAUAUAGGAUUCAGGAUAAUUUUAGGCUGUGAACACAUUUACAAAUAUUGGCAGAUUUCCUAUCCAAUCAGGAGAUCCAGUCAGCUUAACUCUUCUACAUUAUUGUGUGUAAGCUAUUUUUAUAAUUAAGUUAUUACACUAUAUUGAAUCUGGUUAAUUUCCAUUUUAUGUAAAUAUUUAUUUAUGUAUGUCAUUUAUAAUUUUCUUACUUGUAGAUUACAAGCUGUAAUUGUAUCAAAUAAAUAACGUUUAGAUCAAUA